AUACGGAGGAUCCGAGCGUUAUCCGGAUUUAUUGGGUUUAAAGGGAGCGUAGGCGGGAGAUCAAGUCAGCUGUGAAAUGUAGAUGCUCAACAUCUGCACUGCAGUUGAAACUGGUUUUCUUGAGUGCGUAAGGGGCAGGCGGAAUUCGUCGUGUAGCGGUGAAGUGCUUAGAUAUGACGAAGAACUCCGAUCGCGAAGGCAGCCUGCCGGGCCGCGACUGACGCUGAAGCUCGAAGGUGCGGGUAUCGAACAGGAUUAGAUACCCUGGUAGUCCGCACAGUAAACGAUGGAUACUCGCUGUCGGCGAUAUACGGUCGGUGGCCAAGCGAAAGCGUUAAGUAUCCCACCUGGGGAGUACGCCGGCAACGGUGAAACUCAAAGGAAUUGACGGGG
rnacentral:rRNA from 1 species